rnacentral:rRNA from 1 species
CCUACGUGGUGCUGCAGUGGGGAAUAUUGGACAAUGGGCGAAAGCCUGAUCCAGCCAUGCCGCGUGUGUGAAGAAGGCCUUCGGGUUGUAAAGCACUUUCAGUGGGGAAGAAAGCCUUGGGGCUAAUACCCUCGAGGAAGGACAUCACCCACAGAAGAAGCACCGGCUAACUCCGUGCCAGCAGCCGCGGUAAUACGGAGGGGGCGAGCGUUAAUCGGAAUUACUGGGCGUAAAGCGCGCGUAGGCGGUCUGAUAAGCCGGUUGUGAAAGCCCCGGGCUCAACCUGGGAACGGACUCCGGAACUGUCAGGCUAGAGUGCAGGAGAGGAAGGUAGACUUCCCGGUGUAGCGGUGAAAUGCGUAGAGAUCGGGAGGAAUACCAGUGGCGAAGGCGGCGUUCUGGACUGACACUGCCGCUGAGGUGCGAAAGCGUGGGUAGCAAACAGGAUUAGAUCCCCCGGUAGUC